rnacentral:rRNA from 1 species
CACGUAGGCGGCCUACCAAGUUAGAGGUGAAAUCCCGGAGCUCAACUCCGGAACUGCCUUUAAAACUGGUAAGCUAGAGGAUGUGAGAGGAUAGUGGAAUUCCGAGUGUAGAGGUGAAAUUCGUAGAUAUUCGGAAGAACACCAGUGGCGAAGGCGACUGUCUGGCACAUUUCUGACGCUGAGGUGCGAAAGCGUGGGGAGCAAACA